UGUCUCCCACGGCUUGUAAUGUACAUCGUUUCCGUCGUCCUGCAUAUGGGCGGAGAGAUAGGGUUUGGUUCGUCUUCCUUCCGAUCGAUCAACGCUUCGCCUUUUGCUUCGAUCCGUUGGAGACGAUCCGAAGAGCGACUCAUGCUGGAUCCAGGUACACCAGCAACGGUGAAUCUCUCAAACCCCUGCUACAUUUUGAUCUCUUGAGAAGCCAAUUAUGGAACGGAUUUUGAGGAGGAAGUAUUUGUGCUGCAUGUGCGUUUGCAUUGUUUGAUGUGAAAAAAUAUUAAGAAUCAAUCGAUUGAAUAUUGUUGGGAGAUGAAUUUUAGGUCAGAUAUUUCUGCCAUUGACAGACAGGUGGGUUAUUGUUGGGAAACAAAUAGGUAAUCGGCUCUUGGGAUAACGAAAAUAUAAAUUCAAAGGUUAACAUUUUAUUUUUAGAACAUUGGUUCAUGUAUGAUAUGCUUGGAUAGCUUGCUACUGUUUUGCAGAGAAAAUAUGUUGAGAAUAUCCCCCUUUCAGACCAAAUUUUCAAAGUGUCCUUUGGUACUUUUAGCAUAUGCAUCGAACCGAACUUUAAAAAACGGCAUAAACAUCGAACCAGCAGAUCUUUGAUAAUAUGUAGCGCAUAUUUGGAGUACUACCUAUAGGAUUGAUGAAAUGGGUAGCUUAAAGUUGUGGUAAAAGAAAAUGUCAUAAGAAAUUCAUUGAGACCUCAAGGUGAAGAGUUAAUUUUACAAAUAUUAUAAAGUCAGGUACCUUUUGGUUGGAUGUUGAGCCUGAAUAAUAGCCCAGUGGGUGGAGUAAAAAAAUCAACUUUUACUUUGUAUUGUUUCCUGAGUAUGUCAACAUAGAUGUAUGAGAUUGAUUGAUAAUAAAGUGAAAUAGUGAAGAAAAUCUUAUUGAGUUUAGGAACAAAAGUAUUAUUCAGUGAUGGUAUUGAUGGAAAGACUGUGAGUAGUAUAGUGAGGACCGAACAUUAUGAUUGAAGUGAUUUACUUUGUUAAAUUAGGCAACUAAGUUUCUUCAGCUUAUCUUUCAUAUCCAGCAUGGUUUUUCUGUUUCGUAAUGGGUAAAGUGAUGAUAAAUGCACGUGCCUUAACGAUAUAAAGAUUUGAAAAGUUCAUCAGUAAUUUGCUAGAAUAAGUUUUUAAGGAGAUACGGAUCUAAAAUGUUUCACAUGGUGUUUAUUUUUGUGGGAAGCUUCAAGCUUGUACACUCUUUAAAUUGCGUCUUGCUCUUUUCUGAGUCCAAGAAUUUGACAACCAAUGACCAAUCACCAAUUCUGAUUUCAAGAGCUCAAGGCUGGUUUAUCAUAAUAAAAAGAACAUGCAUAUGAAGACUGGGUUGACAAAUAGUUCAAUAAGUAUGACCUACAGCAUGAUUUAGAGUCCCACACAUACAUUGUUUUGUUUGACAAAUGGUUCAAUGACCUACAGAAUAUGAUGCACUAACAACUAUGGUCAUACCAUUUUUUUCUUCCUUUGCGGUUAUCCUAUAAAUGUUGUUCCCAUUUUAGUUGGUGCCAGUGAUUGAAAGAGGCGCUCGGGCGCUCGCCUAGGCGCUCGGGCGAGGCGAGGCGAGGCGAGGCCCGAGCGCCUUGCUAAUGUCCCAGGCGGCGCGCUUCAAACAGGCGCCGCCUGGGCGCUCGCCCGAGCCCAGGCGCUGGGCGCUUCGGGCGAGCGCCUAGGUAAACCAAGUGACCGAACUAGGAUUUUAGGUCUGGUUCGGUCCUGGUUCGGUUGUUAGUUGGUUCAAUCGAACCAACUAAACCGAUAUAACCCUUACCCAACCCUAACCCUAACCCAACCCUAACCCGCUGUCGUUGCCGCUCCCGAUCUCGCUGCUCGUCGCUCCUGCUCCCGCUGCCGCUGCUCGCGCCUCCCGCGAGCCUUCCCUCUGCUCGUGACUCUCGCUGCUCGCGCCUCCCGCGAGCCCUCCAGCUGCUCGCGCCUCCCGCGAGCCUUCCCUCUGCUCGCGACUCCCUGCUCGCGCCUCCCGUGAGCCCUCCCAGCUGCUCGCGCCUCCCACGAGCCCUCCCGCUGCUCGCGACUCCCGCGAGCCCUCCCGUUGCUCGCGCCUCCCGCGAGCCUUCCCUCUGCUCGCGACUAGAAUUUUUAUUUAAAAUAGCAUAUUUUUAUUUAAAAUUUUAAAUAUUUAUAUUUAUUAAUUAUAUUAUAUAUUUUUAUAUUUUAGCGUCUCGCUUCGCUCGGGCGAGCGCCUGGAUGAGCGCCUAGCGCCUCGGGCGUUUUUGGACCUUGGCGCCUUUUGGCGCCUAGCGCUUUUUAAAUCACUGGUUGGUGCUGUUAACUCAGACAGUGAAGUCAUGUACGGACGAUGGCUUGCUUAGUAUGUGGACAAUCCUAAGAACUUGUGUGUCAUCAGAAUUCUGUACUUGGGGCUCUAGCUGUCAAGGAACGUGUUCCAUCCUACACUGCUGGCUCAGCAUCAACCUUGUUGAAUCUGUAGAAACCAUGUACCAAAUUUUUAUGCAUGACUGUAAUAGGUGCAGUCAUACAUGACUAGAAGCAUGGUCCCAUUUACUAGUCCAUAGAGGCAUGGAUAUCAAAGAGACCGGAGAUGCUGAUUUGUUCAAGCGUUAUCUCCAAGACUAUGUCAAAACAAUCAGUGGCUGCCAUCCCAUCAGCAUCUUCCUCCAUAUGCUAAAAGUUUCCUAGACACGAGCAAUCAAGCCAGGCCACAAGCAUGCGGGAGCAGCUGAGCUAUGCAUCAGCAGCUGCAUGGUAAAAUAGUUGACAUGAAUUCAGAAAUUGUUCGCCGAUGUGUUACGGUAUCUUUCCUAUUGAAGCUAUAUGGUACAUUCCUUGAAGCACAAACAUUCAGCAGUGGCCGGACUUCCGAUCCUCUUUAUAUAGCAUUUCAUGUGUCACGUUGAAUCA